UACGGGGGGGGCGAAGCGUUGUUCGGAAAUUACGUUGGGACGGUAAAGGGCUCGUAGGUCGGCCAACUAAGUCAGACGAUUGAAAUCCCCAGGCUCAACCUGGGAACUGCGUCUGAUACUGGAUGGCUUGAAUUCGGGAGAGGGAUUGCAGAAUUCCAGGUGUAGCGGUGAAAUGACGUAGAUAUCUGGAGGAAUACCGGUGGCGAAGGCGGCAUCCUGGACCGACAUUGAACGCUGAUGAGCGAAAGCUAGGGGAGCAAACAGGGAUUGAGAACCCAUAGUAGUC
rnacentral:rRNA from 1 species